rnacentral:rRNA from 1 species
GACGAACGCUGGCGGCGGGCUUAACACAUGCAAGUCGAACGAGGUCCAUCUUGUAGCAAUACAAGUGAAGACCUAGUGGCGAACGGGUGAGGAACACGUGAGAAAUUUGCCCCGAACUUUGGGAUAACAGUUGGAAACGACUGCUAAUACCGAAUGCCGUUACGAAGUGGCAUCACUUUGUAACGAAAGAAUUUCGGUUCGGGAGAAUCUCGCGGCCUAUCAGCUUGUUGGUGAGGUAACGGCUCACCAAGGCUACGACGGGUAGCUGGUCUGAGAGGAUGAUCAGCCACACUGGGACUGAGACACGGCCCAGACUCCUACGGGAGGCAGCAGUGGGGAAUCUUGUGCAAUGGACGAAAGUCUGACACAGCCACGCCGCGUGCGGGAAGAAGGCCUUCGGGUUGUAAACCGCUUUCAGCAGGAACGAAAAUGACGGUACCUGCAGAAGAAGGAGCGGCCAACUACGUGCCAGCAGCCGCGGUGACACGUAGGCUCCAAGCGUUGUCCGGAUUUAUUGGGCGUAAAGAGCUCGUAGGCGGUUCAGCAAGUCGGGUGUGAAAACUCUGGGCUCAACCCAGAGCCUGCACCCGAAACUGCUGUGACUAGAGUUCGGUAGGGGAGUGGGGAAUUCCUAGUGUAGCGGUGAAAUGCGCAGAUAUUAGGAAGAACACCGAUGGCGAAGGCACCACUCUGGGCCGAAACUGACGCUGAGGAGCGAAAGCGUGGGUAGCAAACAGGAUUAGAUACCCUGGUAGUCCACGCCGUAAACGAUGGGCACUAGGUGUGGGUCUCUAACCAACGAGAUCCGCGCCGUCGCUAACGCAUUAAGUGCCCCGCCUGGGGAGUACGGUCGCAAGACUA